rnacentral:rRNA from 1 species
UACGAAGGGGGCUAGCGUUGCUCGGAAUCACUGGGCGUAAAGGGUGCGUAGGCGGGUUUUUAAGUCGGGGGUGAAAUCCUGGAGCUCAACUCCAGAACUGCCUUUGAUACUGGCGAUCUUCGAGUCCGGGAGAGGUGAGUGGAACUCCGAGUGUAGAGGUGAAAUUCGUAGAUAUUCGGAAGAACACCAGUGGCGAAGGCGGCUCACUGGCCCGGUACUGACGCUUAAGAGCGAAAGCGUGGGGAGCAAACAGG